CCUUCUAGUAACAUCAAAAACAAAAUUUUGAAAGCUUUCGGAUC
rnacentral:sRNA from 1 species